rfam:Ovis aries breed Texel chromosome 13, whole genome shotgun sequence.
UCCCUGGUGGCUCAGAUGGUAAAGAAUCUGCCUUCAAUGCAGGAGACCCAGGUUCCAGGCCUGGGUCAGGAAG